CUUUUGUAGACUAUAAUAAGUGUAAAAAAAUUGGGAAAUUACUUAACAGGGUAUGCUGGCAAUUAUAGGAUAAUGUGUUUACAGGCAGAAUAAGUGCAUGCCUUGUAGGCAGCAUAGGACACAUGUAAUCUAUAAUGUUGGCAUUAUUCACUAAACCGGUGUACUGGUGUUGAAGAACGUGGAUAAAUAUUUAAUCUUAAAGGGACAAUAUAG